rnacentral:piRNA from 1 species
UCUUUGGUCUCUUAAGGUAGAACAUGGCUCA